rnacentral:rRNA from 1 species
UUAGUCUUUUAAUUGAAGACUGGUAUGAAGGAGUAAACCAAGAGAAUUUUUUUUAGAUUAAUAUAAUGAAAUUUACUUUUUAGUAAAAAGGCUAAAAUUUUUCUUUUGGACGAGAAGACCCUAUAAAACUUUAUAUUUUCUUCUUUUAGGAGAAGAUUGAAAAUAUUUCACUGGGGCGGUGGGAAGAAGGACUCUUCUUGAAGAAAUAUUACAUGCUUGUUUUAAUAUCUAGAAAUUCUAAAGAAGGAAUAAGUUACUUUAGGGAUAACAGCUUUAUUUACUUAGAAAGUUCUUAUUGACAAGUAAGUUUAUGACCUCGAUGUUGAAUUAAAAUACCUUUUUUGUGU